UGGAGGAGAGGGAGGUAGCAGGAGGUAGGAACUCUGAGAUACUGGUUGGGGUUUGCUGCCUAGCUGGAGCUGGACAGGGAGGAGUGGAACAGAGGUCUUUGGGGGGAGCUGGGCUGAGCCCAUGAGGAGGGGCAGAUCCAUUUGACCCCUACCCACCUUCAAAUCAGACCGGACAAAGCAGAUAGAGGGAAGUGAGCAGCACUGAGCGGGACAGCCUGACAGCUCACUGGUGAAGAAGGGGUCAGAUGAAGUCCUGCCUCCCAUUCAAUCUCUGUGGCUCAGUAUUCACCAAGUGUUCACAACCACAGCUCCUUGGCUUGUAUCAGUGCCUGGGAUUACCAAGCAGUCUUUCAUGGAGGUAAUCACCAGGCCUAAAAUGGCUUUGUUCUCAAAAUCAGGUGGAUUCCAUCCAGCAGGAUUUUCCAUGGAGUGACUCAGAGAUAUCAAUAUUUUCCACAAGUUCCUUGCGAGAAAAGGAAGUACUAAAAUCUCAAGGAUACAAUUGGAGGAACUAACACAGAGAAAAACUGACUUGCUCAUGCACAGGAUGUUUGUGGAUUGACCAGGAACUGAACCCCAGGCUUUAGACAUGAAUUUAGCCCUACCUUCCUGCAGAUCAUUAUUGUAAGCCUCUAGUUUUGACCCUAAACCCACUGCAGAAGUCACAGAUAUGCUCUCACCGGGCAGAAGGUUCAUUUUAGAAAUAAAUAGUGUACUAAAAUUAAUAAAAUCUCUGAUUAUUAUAUAUGCAGGGUGAUAAGGACCCAUUCAAUGAUACUGGUAUGAUCUGUUAAAAACAGUUGGUGAUUUUACUUCUAGCCAAGCUGCUUAGAGAGAACAAAGUAAAUAAAAUAAAAUUAGGAUGGAUUUUGACUUAGGACUGUUAACCAAUAUAGAUCAAGCAUGUUUUAUACUUUAUAUAACCAUGAACCGGUCUCAGAUAUCGUCUUACUUAUAUUAAGGUGAUACCUACAUGAUGACGAUUUUGGAGUGUGGAUACACAUUACAAUUGAACUGUUUCAAGGUUGUCACUGAUUGGGAGCUGGUUUGCAAUUGCUGAGGUUCAGAGUUACUAAUACGUACAGUGCUAAAGGUUUUACGGAGACUUUGCUUGGCUGGAUGGGGCCGUGGACUAUCUGAACCCUUGCUUCUCCAUUCCCAGGGGUGUAGGGAUUCUGGGGUCUGCCCAAGGUCUCUGCCUCAGGCUGCAGUUUUCCAAAGAGUUUCUUUAGGAAGCUGGUUAAUUCAUUUAAAUUCACCAGACCUCCUACUAUGAGGCUGGCUGGUGUGUGGCUGUGUCUUUAGUGGUCUGUACCUGCACAAUGGGUACUUAAUAUGACAGAAUGCUAUCCAUCCAUGCUGGUCAAAGUGAAUUGACCCAUUAACCAUUAAUUGUUUCUUGUUCAGAAGCAAGGUCACCCUUCCCACCUAUCUGAGAAGUGAGCAGUACCAGGGUAACCAGGAUGCAGGCUUGGGGUAGAGGGUGGGACUGAAGAGCAUUUCAUUGUGGGAUGCCUAGAGGACUUGUCAGACAUGAGUCAUGGAAGGGCUGGUGUCCUCAUAAAACAUUGAAGUGCUUCACAACAAAUGGGUUCAAAUUUACACCUAAUUAUCCAGAUAUGCUUUUGAAAUGUUCUAGACAGUUUAUUUUAAACUGACUUGUACAUCUGACCACUUGUGGUUUUAAACUACAUUUAAAAUAAUCUAAGUGUUAGGUGUGUCUGCAUGUUGCUUAAAAUAAGUAAAAUGUAUCUGACCUUGAUGUCAUGGUCCUAUGUUGAGAAACUGUAUACAUGUCCCUUAGUACCAUGUUUAGCAUCAUAUUGGGAAGACAGAAUAAGAUGAAUGACCUCAUAAAUGCCCAUCACACCUUCCCCCUGUACCAGGGUUUGCUCAGUACAGACUUCCUUAAGCUUUGCUGGGUUUCCAGAAUGUUUUCUUUAAAACAAGAUAAGAAACUGGUAAAAACUGGUCUGUAAGGUUUUGAUUAAUAAAUGGAAUAUGCUAUUUGUCUUUUUCUUUUAAACUAGCUGGGUAUAAAUAUGCUCAAGCUGUGUUGAGUUGGCUCCAACCCAUAGCUACUGCUGAUGUGUCCUUCCUUUUGGAUUAGAAAUACGUGAUUUUGUUUUGCCAAUUGAUUAUAAUCAAUAACAGAAUUGAACUUGGUCCCUUUGGUCUCUUGAGUCAUUUCUUAAAGAUUAACUUUUAUGACAGAUAUUUGCUCAAGGACACUUAAUCCUAAUGACAGCCUGGGAUGACCUUCAGUAGGAGACAUGAGAGACAGCUACACACCUUAAAGAUCAGCUACUCCCCUCACACUGAAGCAAAGGGAUAUAAUUAAAACCCUUCAGGGGUAGGGAGAAAGUGCUAGGGAGGAGACUGAUUUGAAAAAUCAAGGUCAUGCAGGUAUUCAUGUAUGUGAAUAAAGGCAAUAAUAGAUGUCUACCUACCUGUCUAUAGUCUACUGUACCUAUGAUCAUGUUAUCAUAUGUGAUACAUAUUAUUACAAGUUAUCACUUGUGAUGUGUCAAAAGUUAGCAUUUAUUUCACUUGUGAUAGAAUGGAAUAGGAAUAAAAUAGCAUAUAAUUGUUCAUAUACUGGCGUGUUUGUAUUAUGUAUGUGCUGGCAUGCUACCUUUUUUAUUAGUGCAUUAGUCAUCUCAUAGAACAAUAAUAAUAAAAGAAUCUGAAAUGCA